AUUGAACGCUGGCGGCAGGCUUAACACAUGCAAGUCGAGCGGGGUGAUGGUGCUUGCACUAUCACUUAGCGGCGGACGGGUGAGUAAUGCUUAGGAAUCUGCCUAUUAGUGGGGGACAACAUCUCGAAAGGGAUGCUAAUACCGCAUACGUCCUACGGGAGAAAGCAGGGGAUCACUUGUGACCUUGCGCUAAUAGAUGAGCAUAAGUCGGAUUAGCUAGUUGGUGGGGUAGAGGCCUACCAAGGCGACGAUCUGUAGCGGGUCUGAGAGGAUGAUCCGCCACACUGGGACUGAGACACGGCCCAGACUCCUACGGGAGGCAGCAGUGGGGAAUAUUGGACAAUGGGGGGAACCCUGAUCCAGCCAUGCCGCGUGUGUGAAGAAGGCCUUAUGGUUGUAAAGCACUUUAAGCGAGGAGGAGGCUCUUUUGGUUAAUACCCAAGAUGAGUGGACGUUACUCGCAGAAUAAGCACCGGCUAACUCUGUGCCAGCCGCCGCGGUAA
rnacentral:rRNA from 1 species